GACGAACGCUGGCGGCGUGCUUAACACAUGCAAGUCGAACGGAAAGGCCCUGCUUUUGUGGGGUGCUCGAGUGGCGAACGGGUGAGUAACACGUGAGUAACCUGCCCUUGACUUUGGGAUAACUUCAGGGAACUGGGGCUAAUACCGGAUAGGAGCUCCUGCUGCAUGGUGGGGGUUGGAAAGUUUCGGCGGUUGGGGGUGGACUCGCGGCUUAUCAGCUUGUUGGUGGGGUAGUGGCUUACCAAGGCUUUGACGGGUAGCCGGCCUGAGAGGGUGACCGGCCACAUUGGGACUGAGAUACGGCCCAGACUCCUACGGGAGGCAGCAGUGGGGAAUAUUGCACAAUGGGCGGAAGCCUGAUGCAGCAACGCCGCGUGCGGGAUGACGGCCUUCGGGUUGUAAACCGCUUUCGCCUGUGACGAAGCGUGAGUGACGGUAAUGGGUAAAGAAGCACCGGCUAACUACGUG
rnacentral:rRNA from 1 species